rnacentral:lncRNA from 1 species
AGAAAGGUGUUUAUCUCGUAUCUGUUUUCAUGGAACACUUGCUUGAACCAUGCUAAAGACACACAAUCCUACUGAUGGACAGCUGUCGUGUUUGAAAUGAGAGGUACGCAGAGUCACAUCCAGCUUUUCUGGGAACCCAAACUCAAGACCUCAUGAUGAGCAUCAAAGAAGGCCCAUUCAGCCCAAGCUACAUAGUAGAAUCCUUAAAAAAAAAAAAAAAACCAACCAACAAUAAUAAAUAAUGCUUGCCUUCCACUCUG